rfam:Caenorhabditis briggsae complete genome, chrIV
CCAACGGCCCUCUUUAGGGCCACAAGUACUCAAGAAUCCAUCAUUU